GUGGGAGCGAGAGCUUGCUUCUUGCUGACGACCGGCGAACGGGUGCGUAACGCGUAUGCAACCUACCCUUAACUGGAGAAUAGCCCGAAGAAAUUCGGAUUAAUGCUCCAUAACAUUUAGAAGUGGCAUCACUUUUAUCUUAAAGCUCCGGCGGUUAAGGAUGGGCAUGCGUAACAUUAGUUAGUUGGUGAGGUAACGGCUCACCAAGACUACGAUGUUUAGGGGUUCUGAGAGGAUUGUCCCCCACACUGGUACUGAGACACGGACCAGACUCCUACGGGAGGCAGCAGUAAGGAAUAUUGGUCAAUGGACGCAAGUCUGAACCAGCCAUGCCGCGUGCAGGAUUGACGGCCCUACGGGUUGUAAACUGCUUUUAUACAGGAAGAAACUUCUCUACGUGUAGAGAGCUGACGGUACUGUAAGAAUAAGGACCGGCUAACUCCGUGCCAGCAGCCGCGGUAAUACGGAGGGUCCAAGCGUUAUCCGGAUUUAUUGGGUUUAAAGGGUGCGUAGGCGGGAUUGUAAGUCAGAGGUGAAAUCCCACAGCUUAACUGUGGAACUGCCUUUGAUACUGCAGUACUUGAGUACAGAUGAGGUGGGCGGAAUGUGACAUGUAGCGGUGAAAUGCUUAGAUAUGUCACAGAACACCA
rnacentral:rRNA from 1 species